AUUGAACGCUGGCGGCAGGCCUAACACAUGCAAGUCGAGCGGAUGAAGGGAGCUUGCUCCUGGAUUCAGCGGCGGACGGGUGAGUAAUGCCUAGGAAUCUGCCUGGUAGUGGGGGAUAACGUCCGGAAACGGGCGCUAAUACCACAUACGUCCUGAGGGAGAAAGUGGGGGAUCUUCGGACCUCACGCUAUCAGAUGAGCCUAGGUCGGAUUAGCUAGUUGGUGGGGUAAAGGCCUACCAAGGCGACGAUCCGUAACUGGUCUGAGAGGAUGAUCAGUCACAUUGGAACUGAGACACGGUCCCGAGUACUACGGGAGGCAGCAGUGGGGAAUAUUGGACAAUGGGCGGAAGCAUGAUCCAGCCAUGCCGAGUGUGUGAAGAAGGUCUUCGGAUUGUAAAGCACUUUAAGUUGGGAGGAAGGGCAGUAAGUUAAUACCUUGCUGUUUUGACGUUACCAACAGAAUAAGCACCGGCUAACUUCGUG
rnacentral:rRNA from 1 species